rnacentral:rRNA from 1 species
AGUGAACGCUGGCGGUAGGCCUAACACAUGCAAGUCGAACGGCAGCACAGUAAGAGCUUGCUCUUACGGGUGGCGAGUGGCGGACGGGUGAGGAAUACAUCGGAAUCUACUUUUUCGUGGGGGGUAACGUAGGGAAACUUACGCUAAUACCGCAUACGACCUACGGGUGAAAGCAGGGGAUCUUCGGACCUUGCGCGAUUGAAUGAGCCGAUGUCGGAUUAGCUAGUUGGCGGGGUAAAGGCCCACCAAGGCGACGAUCCGUAGCUGGUCUGAGAGGAUGAUCAGCCACACUGGAACUGAGACACGGUCCAGACUCCUACGGGAGGCAGCAGUGGGGAAUAUUGGACAAUGGGCGCAAGCCUGAUCCAGCCAUGCCGCGUGGGUGAAGAAGGCCUUCGGGUUGUAAAGCCCUUUUGUUGGGAAAGAAAAGCAGCAGGUUAAUACCCCGCUGUUCUGACGGUACCCAAAGAAUAAGCACCGGCUAACUUCGUG